rnacentral:rRNA from 1 species
CCUACGGGAGGCAGCAGUGAGGAAUAUUGGUCAAUGGACGCAAGUCUGAACCAGCCAUGCCGCGUGCAGGAAGACGGCUCUAUGAGUUGUAAACUGCUUUUGUCCGAGGGUAAAUCCCGAUACGUGUAUCGGGUUGAAAGUAUCGUACGAAUAAGGAUCGGCUAACUCCGUGCCAGCAGCCGCGGUAAUACGGAGGAUUCAAGCGUUAUCCGGAUUUAUUGGGUUUAAAGGGUGCGUAGGCGGUUCGAUAAGUUAGAGGUGAAAUCGUGGAGCUCAACUCCAUCCAGCCGUUGAAACUGAUGAUCUUGAGUGGGAGAGAAGUAUGCGGAAUGCGUGGUGUAGCGGUGAAAUGCAUAGAUAUCACGCAGAACUCCGAUUGCGAAGGCAGCAUACCGGCGCCCGACUGACGCUGAAGCACGAAAGCGUGGGUAUCGAACAGGAUUAGAUACCCCAGUAGUC